ACGAGAUUUUCAAGCCAUCAGUUUUGACAGGCACAAAUUUCAAUAACAGAAACCUGUAUAAGUUAAGAACAGUUUACCCUUAAGUUUUGCAUAGGUUUACCGUGGAUAAGUUGCUCCCCUUGUCCUUCACCUUCCUUGUGUUCAUUUUCAUGGUGUUCAAACUAUGGAUGAGAUCCAAAAUAAAGGUGUCACUGAGAUUUUAUUACAUGUUCCCACUCGCCAGCACAUUCCAUCUUGGAGAAUUCCUUUUGAAGCCCAAAUACUUCACCAAGUAUAUGAAGGUAAUCCCCAACCUUAGUUGAUUUGGAGCUGCGAGGGACUUGGAGGUGGCCACACAUUCGCUAGUAUUUUUAUUCUAGACUGAUUUCUUUUAAAGUUUACUUUGGGUUGUUUUUUAUGUAAUAAGACCUUUGGUAUUUUAAUUUUCUUUAAAAUGGGUUUAUUUAUUUA